GAUGAAGAACGUAGUGAAAUGCGAUAAGUAAUGUGAAUUGCAGAAUUCAGUGAAUCAUCGAAUCUUUGAACGCACAUUGCGCCCGCCAGUAUUCUGGCGGGCAUGCCUGUUCGAGCGUCAUUUCAACCAUCAAGCCCCCGGCUUGUGUUGGGGACCUGCGGCUGCCGCAGGCCCUGAAAACCAGUGGCGGGCUCGCUAGUCACUCCGAGCGUAGUAGUUACAUCUCGCUCAGGGCGUGCUGCGGGUUCCGGACGUUAAAAGCCUUAUUUACCCAAGGUUGACCUCGGAUCAGGUAGGAAGACCCGCUGAACUUAAGCAUAUCAAUAAGCGGAGGA
rnacentral:misc_RNA from 1 species